rnacentral:rRNA from 1 species
AACGAACGCUGGCGGCAGGCCUAACACAUGCAAGUCGAGCGCCCCGCAAGGGGAGCGGCGGGCGGGUGAGUAACGCGUGGGAAUAUGCCCUUUGCUACGGAAUAGUCUCGGGAAACUGGGGGUAAUACCGUAUACGCCCUUUGGGGGAAAGAUUUAUCGGCGAAGGAUUAGCCCGCGUUGGAUUAGGUAGUUGGUGGGGUAAUGGCCUACCAAGCCGACGAUCCAUAGCUGGUUUGAGAGGAUGAUCAGCCACACUGGGACUGAGACACGGCCCAGACUCCUACGGGAGGCAGCAGUGGGGAAUCUUAGAAAAUGGGGGCAACCCUGAUCUAGCCAGGCCGGGUGAGUGAUGAAGGCCUUAGGGUUGUAAAGCUCUUUCAGCUGGGAAGAUAAUGACGGUACCAGCAGAAGAAGCCCCGGCUAACUCCGUG